UGGCACAUCAGACGGGUGUUCUGCUCCUCUUUAAAGAGCACGGGUUUGUCCAUACUGAGCAAAAUCAAUGAAAUGAGAAGUUUCAGAGCUGCCAACAUUUUGGUUAAGGUUUUGCCGAAGUAUAUUUCUUCUACAAUU